GGAGAACAAUAGAGGAGCAGGAGGAAAUGUUUUCGGAGAGAUUUGGCUGGUAUGGUACAGGGAAGCCGGGCCUCUGAUCUCAAGUGAAGAAACCCAGGAUGCAUCUAGAGCUAAAGGUAAUCCUCAACCCACCCUGACAUUGGACGUUGAAUGGUGGAACUGUCAGAGUUGGGCUCAGAGGGAGAAUUCCAAGGACUGGUGAGUCUCCCACUUUUGGAUUACUUUUUUUGGAUCCUUUUUUUUUGCAAUGCAUUUCUGACAUUUCUUUUUGAUAGAUAAUUCUGUUUUUGGUACCAUGAAGGACUAUUUUUUGUUGGACUAGGGUGGCUGGAUCAGGACCAUACCUUGAGAAUUUCUGUUGUCUUGUUCUUUUCCAAAGGGAAUCGGACACUGAACAGAAAGAAUGUAAAAGUUGGGACUCAUUCUUUUGGUUUUGAUUACUUUGGGGGUUAAACUGAUGAUUUUGUGUUGGGGUAGGGGAAGUGUGGGAAGGAAGAUUUGUGUGUAGUUUUUUUUUUUUUUUUUUUUGGGGGGGGGGGUCUUUGAAUUAAAAUUGGUGAACCGUGUCUUCUGUGGUGAUAUAUAUACUUUCAGGGGUAUCCAAUAGGAAUGAAACUAUAGUGUGUAGUAGCAUCAGACGCUUGCGCAUAGCUCAGUUUUAAAGAAAUUAAAGCUGAUUGGUAUUGUGUAGUGUGCAUAAAGAAAUAAGCUAUUUAGACCAAAUUGUUUUUUGUAUUGGGCUGUUAACAUGUUUAUUUUUGCUUUAAGGAUGGGCUUUUUUAAAUGAGGGGGUAUGUGGCUUCCAGUGAUUUUGCCACCAACCUCAAAAGGUUACUCAAGAAACUGCAGUUUUUAGCACCUAUGCAUUGGCUUCAUCAGAUCGUUUAUAAGGGCCCAAAGACGAGCCUCUGUAUAUAAGGCACAUGCUGCAACCGGUGGGUUCACCCAUCAUCAUGUAUCACAAACGAAUCAGUGAAGUAACAUCAAGAGAUGAUCUGACAGUUUCCUUUCAGUUGUAGCAGCUGUCCAGUAAGGAUGAUGACAAAAAACUUUAUCUAACUGAAGUCACAAAAUCAGAGUAUCCGGACAUCACAAGAGAGAAUCCACGGACUAAAACCAUCACUUUUCUCAUUACCCAAGCACUUAUCAUUUCAACUGACAGCUCUGCUUACCUAGGGAAAAAUGUUAAACCCUAAAUAAUUAUGUUUUGGACCCUCAUUGUUGCAUCAUUUGCUGCCCUGUUGCAUGACUUUUUUUUUCAGAUAGUCUUUUAUCUGUCCCCCUAUUUCAACAUCUUCCUCAUCAUCCCCCCCUCCUGCCUCAUCUCUCUCUUAUUGUUUCCAUCUCUCUAACUCCUUUGAUAAAACAUCAAGGCACACUUCCUCAAACAAAACAUUUGUGGGUGUGACUGCAGUGCACUGAUGUGAGAAUUAAGUUUUGUGCGGAUGGUUUAGGUGUCCUUAUACAUUUUGUGUCCCUAAAUGUGCAUUCUGAACCCUCACCUUAGAUUUGCACUCUAAAUCUCACUGUAAGCAGUUUCUGGACACUGAAGCAGCACUGAGGUGAGGUGACAUAAUGUAAUGUUCACAGAUUCAAACCACAGGACUGGAGUUUGAUACCCCCGUGAUACAGAUACUCUGUGCUGACUUCUGUUGAGAGACUGACCUCUUUUUGACACAGGGGUAAGUUGUUGACCCAGAAGCAGAUUUGCAAACAAAAGCAAGUUCAAAACUUUAAUUAAAAAAAAUGCUAAACAAAUCAAAAUCACACCCACUCAAAUGGAAAGAAAAGCUCAAAUGCUAGCAAUAAAUGUUUCUUUAUCUAUUUCACAGGUCAAGCUAAGGAUUUCAACAGAGGACCUCUUCUCAGGACAAGGAACAAUGGCGUCCUGCUGCCAGCUCCCCACCUAUAUAACCUGCUGAUUGCUGCUCUGCAUCAGCUGCACACAGGUGUGCUGCCUCUGUGGUCAUUAGGGGAGGUGGAAACUCAAAACACAGAGGCCAACAGGCAAACCUAAAAACAACCAAAAAACUAGAUCCAAUCAACAGGAAAAAUCUACUCAUGGAGGUGGGAUUGUGACACUUUUAGAAUUACAUAACCUGCAUUAGUUAUGUGAAUAAAUUUGGCGUGCUGUUUACA
rnacentral:lncRNA from 1 species